rnacentral:rRNA from 1 species
UACAGAGGGUGCGAGCGUUGUUCGGAAUUAUUGGUCGUAAAGGGCGCGUAGGCGGUGCGGUAAGUCACCUGUGAAAUCUCCUGGCUCAACUGGGAGCUUGCAGGCGAAACUGCCGUGCUGGAGUGUGGGAGAGGUGCGUGGAAUUCCUGGUGUAGCGGUGAAAUGCGUAGAUAUCAGGAGGAACACCUGUGGCGAAAGCGGCGCACUGGACCACAACUGACGCUGAGGCGCGAAAGCUAGGGGAGCAAACAGG